CCUUUCAUAAGCUAAGCUGGGCUGUUGAAGUAAUUAUUCUUUAGGUACCUUCCUUUGCAUUUUUUUAGAUGAUGGCUGAUUGAUAUAGCUGUUUAUGUAGUGUACUGUUUUCUCAGAAUAGAUUACCUGUGAGAGAUUCCUUCAUUCGUUUUGCGAAAGAUUGCUUGUCCAGUAGCUUCCCUUUGGUCCCGUUACUGACAAUUCUGUUAUUUGUGUUUUGAUCAUGGUGAUGCGCGUGAAUGAUUAUAGCAAAACCACUGCCCAUUGGUGUCGAUGAUGGUGUCUCGUCACUCCAGGAAGACGGAUAAAGAGGUCAAAUUCAAGUUCCAAUUAGGUUGGCGUUGAUGAAUUGUGCAAUGCAUUUUUCUUAUUUAGGGCUAACACAAAAAGGCAUAAUGCCAGGGGCACAAAAUUGUUUCACCUGAAAGUGCAGAUUGUACACUUGGUUUCUAAUGUGUUGAAGGCUUGCGAUGAAACCAUUUAUGUUUCACCUGAUUGCGGCAUUCUUAUUUCUGAAAUUUAUCUGUCCAGCAUUUCAUUAAACUAAGUGU
rnacentral:lncRNA from 1 species